rnacentral:rRNA from 1 species
UGGGGAAUAUCGCGCAAUGGGCGAAAGCCUGACGCAGCGACGCCGCGUGAGGGAUGAAGGUUUUCGGAUCGUAAACCUCUGUCAGAAGGGAAGAAACCGCACUGUGCUAAUCAGCAGUGCCUUGACGGUACCUUCAAAGGAAGCACCGGCUAACUCCGUGCCAGCAGCCGCGGUAAUACGGAGGGUGCAAGCGUUAAUCGGAAUUACUGGGCGUAAAGCGCACGUAGGCUGCUUUGUAAGUCAGGGGUGAAAUCCCACGGCUCAACCGUGGAACUGCCUUUGAUACUGCUUAGCUUGAAUCCGGGAGAGGGUGGCGGAAUUCCAGGUGUAGGAGUGAAAUCCGUAGAUAUCUGGAGGAACAUCAGUGGCGAAGGCGGCCACCUGGACCGGUAUUGACGCUGAGGUGCGAAAGCGUGGGGAGCAAACAGG